UACGUAGGGUCCGAGCGUUGUCUGGAAUUAUUGGGCGUAAAGAGCUCGUAGGCGGUUUGUCACGUCUGCUGUGAAAACUGGAGGCUCAACCUCCAGCCUGCAGUGGGUACGGGCAGACUAGAGUGCGGUAGGGGAGAAUGGAAUUCCUGGUGUAGCGGUGGAAUGCGCAGAUAUCAGGAGGAACACCGAUGGCGAAGGCAGUUCUCUGGGCCGUAACUGACGCUGAGGAGCGAAAGCGUGGGGAGCGAACAGG
rnacentral:rRNA from 1 species